UACGGGGGGGGUAAGCGUUGUUCGGAAUUACUGGGCGUAAAGGGCUCGUAGGCGGCCAACUAAGUCAGACGUGAAAUCCCUCAGCUUAACCGGGGAACUGCGUCUGAUACUGGAUGGCUAGAGAUUGGGAGAGGGAUGCGGAAUUCCAGGUGUAGCGGUGAAAUGCGUAGAUAUCUGGAGGAACACCGGUGGCGAAGGCGGCAUUCUGGACCAAUAUUGACGCUGAGGAGCGAAAGCCAGGGGAGCAAACGGG
rnacentral:rRNA from 1 species